AGUGAACGCUGGCGGUAGGCCUAACACAUGCAAGUCGAACGGCAGCACAGUAAGAGCUUGCCCUUACGGGUGGCGAGUGGCGGACGGGUGAGGAAUACAUCGGAAUCUACUUUUUCGUGGGGGAUAACGUAGGGAAACUUACGCUAAUACCGCAUACGACCUACGGGUGAAAGCAGGGGAUCUUCGGACCUUGCGCGAUUGAAUGAGCCGAUGUCGGAUUAGCUAGUUGGCGGGGCAAAGGCCCACCAAGGCGACGAUCCGUAGCUGGUCUGAGAGGAUGAUCAGCCACACUGGAACUGAGACACGGUCCAGACUCCUACGGGAGGCAGCAGUGGGGAAUAUUGGACAAUGGGCGCAAGCCUGAUCCAGCCAUACCGCGUGGGUGAAGAAGGCCUUCGGGUUGUAAAGCCCUUUUGUUGGGAAAGAAAAGCAGCAGGUUAAUACCCCGCUGUUCUGACGGUACCCAAAGAAUAAGCACCGGCUAACUUCGUG
rnacentral:rRNA from 1 species